UGUGUGUGUCUGUGCUGGACGGGCCGCAGUCAGGAGAGCUGCUCCUCUCAAAGGACCUAGACCUUGUUGUUCUCUCCGUUGGACACCGGAGAACCAGGAGAAGACGAUUGCCUGCAAGCAGGAGAUACUUUGGUUGUAAUAGCAGUCAACCAGGAUGCAGAACAAUCCCACACAUUCAAUACAGCUGAACCAACCCAAGCCCUUACAAAUCAUCAAAAUCUGUUACAGAGUCCUGGGGAUGACCUGACAUUAUCACAUCUAAUCUCGGAAUCCUUUCAUACGCCUGCCACACCUGCCACAUCCAGAAGCAACACGGAGGACAUGGUCUCCCUUCAGCGUGAGCUUUUGGGGGAAGUAAAAAUGCUGAGGAUUACUCAGGAGCAACUUCUGAAGGUGGAGAGGGAAAAGCUGCUCGUCGAGAGGGAGAAGCUUCGCCUUGCCCAAGCCAAGUUUGAUUUAAAAAAAAUUGAAUGUUGAACCUAGAAUAAAAUAGCAAUCACUCAUAGAGGUUUUCAUGUGUUGUUUAUUGUGUUUUUUUUUCACAUGAAUCUCCUCCUUAUGAGGUCUUGUCUCACUUGCAUGCCAGUGUUACAUGGGGCAGGGACUGGGACAUCUCCCUCGGGGUCAUCAUCAUCUGGGAUGUCAGGGAUUGGCAAGCGGUACAUAAUGCAGAUGUUGUGGAGGAUAAAAACACAGGUAAUAAUUUUA